GGGCGGUUAGCUCAGCUAGGUAGAGCAAUGCAGUAAAGCUGCAUGUGUCAGUGGUUCAAAUCCAUUACCGUCCA
rnacentral:tRNA from 1 species